rnacentral:rRNA from 1 species
CCUACGGGUGGCUGCAGUGGGGAAUAUUGGACAAUGGGGGAAACCCUGAUCCAGCGACGCCGCGUGUGUGAAGAAGGCCUGCGGGUUGUAAAGCACUUUUAGUGGGGAUGAAAAGCUCAGGGCUAAUACCCCUGGGUCUUGACCUAACCCAAAGAAAAAGCACCGGCUAACUCUGUGCCAGCAGCCGCGGUAAUACAGAGGGUGCGAGCGUUAAUCGGAAUUACUGGGCGUAAAGCGUGCGUAGACGGUCAUCUAAGUCGGAUGUGAAAUCCCCGGGCUCAACCUGGGAAUUGCAUUCGAUACUGGAUGGCUAGGGUGCGGAAGAGGGAAGCGGAAUUUCCGGUGUAGCGGUGAAAUGCGUAGAUAUCGGAAGGAACACCAGUGGCGAAAGCGGCUUCCUGGUCCAGCACCGACGUUCAGGCACGAAAGCGUGGGGAGCAAACAGGAUUAGAUACCCUAGUAGUC